AUUGAACGCUGGCGGCAGGCCUAACACAUGCAAGUCGAGCGGGGUUUUCGGACCUAGCGGCGGACGGGUGAGUAAUGCGUAGGAAGCUGCCCGAUAGAGGGGGAUACCAGUUGGAAACGACUGUUAAUACCGCAUAAUGUCUACGGACCAAAGUGUGGGACCUUCGGGCCACAUGCUAUCGGAUGCGCCUACGUGGGAUUAGCUAGUUGGUGAGGUAAUGGCUCACCAAGGCGACGAUCUCUAGCUGGUUUGAGAGGAUGAUCAGCCACCCUGGAACUGAGACACGGUCCAGACUCCUACGGGAGUCAGCAGUGGGGAAUAUUGGACAAUGGGCGCAAGCCUGAUCCAGCCAUGCCGCGUGUGUGAAGAAGGCCUUCGGGUUGUAAAGCACUUUCAGCGAGGAGGAAGGGUGGUGUGUUAAUAGCACAUCAUUUUGACGUUACUCGCAGAAGAAGCACCGGCUAACUCUGUGCCAGCCGCCGCCGUAAUAC
rnacentral:rRNA from 1 species